GACGAACGCUGGCGGCGUGCUUAACACAUGCAAGUCGAACGGAAAGGCCCUGCUUGCAGGGUACUCGAGUGGCGAACGGGUGAGUAGCACGUGGGUGAUCUGCCCUGCACUUCGGGAUAAGCCUGGGAAACUGGGUCUAAUACCGGAUAUGACCUUCCAUGUAGUGUGGGGGGUGGAAAGAUUUAUCGGUGUGGGAUGAGCCCGCGGCCUAUCAGCUUGUUGGUGGGGUAAUGGCCUACCAAGGCGUCGACGGGUAGCCGGCCUGAGAGGGUGGACGGCCACAUUGGGACUGAGAUACAGCCCAGACUCCUACGGGAGGCAGCAGUGGGGAAUAUUGCACAAUGGGCAGAAGCCUGAUGCAGCGACGCCGCGUGGGGGAUGACGGCCUUCGGGUUGUAAACCUCUUUCGACAGGGACGAAGCUUCGGUGACGGUACCUGUAUAAGAAGCACCGGCUAACUACGUG
rnacentral:rRNA from 1 species